rnacentral:rRNA from 1 species
UACGUAGGGUCCGAGCGUUGUCCGGAAUUAUUUGGGCGUAAAGGGCUCGUAGGCGGUUCGUCACGUCGGGAGUGAAAACUCGGGGCUUAACCCCGAGCCUGCUUCCGAUACGGGCAGACUAGAGGUAGGCAGGGGAGAGCGGAACUCCUGGUGUAGCGGUGGAAUGCGCAGAUAUCAGGAAGAACACCGGUGGCGAAGGCGGCUCUCUGGGCCUUACCUGACGCUGAGGAGCGAAAGCGUGGGUAGCGAACAGG